UAGGGAAUCUUCCGCAAUGGACGCAAGUCUGACGGAGCAACGCCGCGUGAGUGAAGAAGGAUUUCGGUUCGUAAAACUCUGUUGUUAGAGAAGAACAGCGCAUAGAGUAACUGUUAUGCGUGUGACGGUAUCUAACCAGAAAGCCACGGCUAACUACGUGCCAGCAGCCGCGGUAAUACGUAGGUGGCAAGCGUUGUCCGGAUUUAUUGGGCGUAAAGCGAGCGCAGGCGGUCAAUUAAGUCUGAUGUGAAAGCCCCCGGCUCAACCGGGGAGGGUCAUUGGAAACUGGUUGACUUGAGUGCAGAAGAGGAGAGUGGAAUUCCAUGUGUGGCGGUGAAAUGCGUAGAUAUAUGGAGGAACACCAGUGGCGAAGGCGACUCUCUGGUCUGUAACUGACGCUGAGGAUCGAAAGCGUGGGUAGCAAACAGG
rnacentral:rRNA from 1 species